AGUAUGGCCAGGAAAGAGAAGAACUAUUUAAAUCUUUCUAUCUUCUGGCCUCAUCUACUAGACUGGCAAUCAGGAUUUCUAAUGGAUUCACAUGAGGAAACCUAGUGCUGGGGAAGGGUAGUGGUGGCACGGGGAGAAAAAUAACAGGGUUUUUUUUUUUUUUUUUUUUGCAUGGACUAACUUUUCCUAGUAUCGAGAGAAUGUGACUUUUCUCCUUUUUUCCUUGGCAAUAGUGUGUUCCUAGGGCUCAGUACAUGUGAUAACAAGGCUAUGUGCCAAGCAUUGUGACAGGGUUUGAAGCAGAGCUCAAGAACAUAAGUCCCUGCAGUUGUAUUUUCAGCAUAGGCUGAGGGUUGGGGAGCUGGGAGGAGCUCGAUUGGAAAUCAGACUUUUUAGGGACUCUACCUCCAAGGAUUGUGUUCCCUAACAUGGGAGGAAACCUCUAUGGACUUCAGGAACUCAGUAUUCCAGGACCACCUGCCAGAACCUCAAGACACUUGGCUAUCAGUGAAACCCAGAAGGAUUGAGAAAUUUCAGAAGAUAGUAUGCCAGUGGGUGAUGGAAUGUUGACACAACCCCAGAACUGUUGGCUCCCAGGUCAGAAGCCUUCUUCAUCUGU